rnacentral:rRNA from 1 species
AGGAUUCCCCUAGUAACUGCGAGUGAAGCGGGAAAAGCUCAAAUUUAAAAUCUGGCGGUCUUUGGCCGUCCGAGUUGUAAUCUAGAGAAGUAAUGCCCGUGCUGGACCGUGUAUAAGUCUCCUGGGAUGGGGCGUCAUAGAGGGUGAGAAUCCCGUCUUUGACACGGACUACCAGUGCAUUGUGGUAUGCUCUCAAAGAGUCGAGUUGUUUGGGAAUGCAGCUCAAAAUGGGUGGUAAAUUCCAUCUAAAGCUAAAUAUUGGCGAGAGACCGAUAGCGAACAAGUACCGUGAGGGAAAGAUGAAAAGAACUUUGGAAAGAGAGUUAAACAGUACGUGAAAUUGCUGAAAGGGAAACGCUUGAAGUCAGUCGCGUUGGCYGGGAAUCAGCCCUGCUUUUGCAUGGUGUACUUUCUGGUYGACGGGUCAGCAUCAAUUUUGAUCACUGGAAAAGGCUCAAGGGAAUGUGGCAGCUUCGGCUGUGUUAUAGCCCCUGUUCACAUACAGUGGUUGGGAUUGAGGAACUCAGCACGCCGCAAGGCCGGGUUUCGACCACGUUCGUGCUUAGGAUGCUGGCAUAAUGGCUUUAAGCGACCCGUCUUGAAACACGGACCAAGGAGUCUAACAUGCCUGCGAGUAUUUGGGUGGAAAACCCAGGUGCGCAAUGAAAGUGAAAGUUGAGAUCCCUGUCGUGGGGAGCAUCGACGCCCGGACCAGAACUUUUGRGACGGAUCCGCGGUGGAGCAUGUAUGUUGGGACCCGAAAGAUGGUGAACUAUGCCUGAAUAGGGUGAAGCCAGAGGAAACUCUGGUGGAGGCUCGUAGCGAUUCUGACGUGCAAAUCGAUCGUCAAAUUUGGGUAUAGGGGCGAAA